UACGAAGGGGGCUAGCGUUGUUCGGAGUUACUGGGCGUAAAGGGUGUGUAGGCGGUUCUUUAAGUUUGGUGUGAAAUCUCCCGGCUCAACUGGGAGGGUGCGCCGAAUUACUGAGGGACUAGAGUGCGGGAGAGGAAAGUGGAAUUCCUGGUGUAGCGGUGAAAUGCGUAGAUAUCAGGAGGAACACCGGUGGUGUAGACGGCUUCUGGACCGUAACUGACGCUGAGACACGAAAGCGUGGGUAGCAAACAGG
rnacentral:rRNA from 1 species